UGGUGGGUAGUUUGACUGGGGCGGUCUCCUCCUAAAGAGUAACGGAGGAGCACGAAGGUUGGCUAAUCCUGGUCGGACAUCAGGAGGUUAGUGCAAUGGCAUAAGCCAGCUUGACUGCGAGCGUGACGGCGCGAGCAGGUGCGAAAGCAGGUCAUAGUGAUCCGGUGGUUCUGAAUGGAAGGGCCAUCGCUCAACGGAUAAAAGGUACUCCGGGGAUAACAGGCUGAUACCGCCCAAGAGUUCAUAUCGACGGCGGUGUUUGGCACCUCGAUGUCGGCUCAUCACAUCCUGGGGCUGAAGUAGGUCCCAAGGGUAUGGCUGUUCGCCAUUUAAAGUGGUACGCGAGCUGGGUUUAGAACGUCGUGAGACAGUUCGGUCCCUAUCUGCCGUGGGCGCUGGAGAACUGAGGGGGGCUGCUCCUAGUACGAGAGGACCGGAGUGGACGCAUCACUGGUGUUCGGGUUGUCAUGCCAAUGGCACUGCCCGGUAGCUAAAUGCGGAAGAGAUAAGUGCUGAAAGCAUCUAAGCACGAAACUUGCCCCGAGAUGAGUUCUCCCUGAGACUUAAAGUCUCCUGAAGGAACGUUGAAGACGACGACGUUGAUAGGCCGGGUGUGUAAGCGCAGCGAUGC
rnacentral:rRNA from 1 species